rnacentral:rRNA from 1 species
AAUAACCUGCCUUUGAGAAGGGGAUAACUGUCCGAAAGGAUAGCUAAUACCCUAUAAUGUCCUUUGUCACAAAGGCAAAGGAUGAAAGCGAGGCUGUCAAAGGCUUCGGCUCAAAGAGGGGUUCGCGUCCUAUCAGGUAGUUGGUGGGGUAAUGGCCUACCAAGCCAAUGACGGGUAGCUGGUCUUAGAGGAUGGUCAGCCACAGUGGGACUGAGACACGGCCCGCACCCCUACGGGGGGCAGCAGUGGGGAAUCGUGGGCAAUGGACGAAAGUCUGACCCCGCAAUGCCGCGUGAGGGAAGAAGCCCUUCGGGGUGUAAACCUCUGUCAGAUGGGAAGAUGGGACCAAGAGCUAAUACCUCUUGGUCUUGACGGUACCAUCAGAGGAAGGGACGGCUAACUACGUGCCAGCAGCCGCGGUAAUACGUAGGUCCCGAGCGUUGCGCGAUGUUACUGGGCGUAAAGCGUCCGUAGCUGGUUUCGUAAGCGGAUUGUCAAAACCCGAAGCUCAACUUCGGCAAGGCAUUCCGAACUGCGUUACUUGAGUCCUGUUCAGGUAGGCGGAAAUUCCCCGGUGUAGCGGUGAAAUGCGUAGAUAUCCGGGAGGAACACCAGUGGCGAAGGCGGCCUACUGGGACGGUACUGACGGGUCAUGGACGAAAGCUGGGGGAGCGAACCGGAUUAGAUACCCGGGUAGUCCCAGCCGUAAACGAUGGAUGUUAGGCGUAGUGAUAACUUCGCUGCACCCCAGCUAACGCGUUAAACAUCCCGCCUGGGGAGUACGGGCGCAAGCCUGAGACUCAAAGGAAUUGGCGGGGGCCCGCACAACCGGUGGAGCGUCUGGUUUAAUUCGAUGCUAACCGAAAAACCUUACCAGGGUUUGAAAUGGUAGGAAAGGCUGUCGAAAGACAGCCGUGUUUCCUUUUUGGGAGAAAUCCUACCACAGGUGGUGCAUGGCCGUCGUCAGCUCGCGUUGUGAGAUGUUGGGUUAAGUCCCGUAACGAGCGCAACCC